GGCAUGGUUGUCGUUCAGCUCGUGUCGUGAGAUGUGGUUAAGUCCCGCAACGAGCGCAACCCUCGACCUUAGUUGCCAGCAUUCAGUUUGGGCACUCUAAAGGUGACUGCCGGCUAAAAAGUCGGAGGAAGGUGGGGAUGACGUCAAAUCAUCAUGCCCCUUAUGACCUGGGCUACACACGUGCUACAAUGGGCGGUACAAAGGGUCGCGAACCCGCGAGGAGGAGCCAAUCCCAAAAAGCCGCUCUCAGUUCGGAUUGCAGGCUGCAACUCGCCUGCAUGAAGCCGGAAUCGCUAGUAAUCGCGGAUCCAGCAUGCCGCGGUGAAUACGUUCCCGGGCCUU
rnacentral:rRNA from 1 species